UACGAACCGUGCGAACGUUGUUCGGAAUCACUGGGCUUAAAGGGCGCGUAGGCGGGCUCGCAAGUCAGGUGUGAAAGCCCACGGCUCAACCGUGGAAGUGCCUUUGAUACUGCGGGUCUGGAGGGAGGUAGGGGCGUGCGGAACUUCCGGUGGAGCGGUGAAAUGCGUAGAUAUCGGAAGGAACACCGGUGGCGAAAGCGGCGCGCUGGACCUCUUCUGACGCUGAGGCGCGAAAGCCAGGGGAGCAAACGGG
rnacentral:rRNA from 1 species